GCAGUCGAGCGGACGGAUGGGAGCUUGCUCCCUGAAGUCAGCGGCGGACGGGUGAGUAACACGUGGGCAACCUGCCUGUAAGACUGGGAUAACUUCGGGAAACCGGAGCUAAUACCGGAUAAUGCAUUUCCCCUCAUGGGGAUAUGCUGAAAGAUGGUUUCGGCUAUCACUUACAGAUGGGCCCGCGGCGCAUUAGCUAGUUGGUGAGGUAACGGCUCACCAAGGCAACGAUGCGUAGCCGACCUGAGAGGGUGAUCGGCCACACUGGGACUGAGACACGGCCCAGACUCCUACGGGAGGCAGCAGUAGGGAAUCUUCCGCAAUGGACGAAAGUCUGACGGAGCAACGCCGCGUGAGUGAUGAAGGUUUUCGGAUCGUAAAACUCUGUUGUCAGGGAAGAACAAGUGCCGGAGUAACUGCCGGCACCUUGACGGUACCUGACCAGAAAGCCACGGCUAACUACGUGCCAGCAGCCGCGGUAAUACGUAGGUGGCAAGCGUUGUCCGGAAUUAUUGGGCGUAAAGCGCGCGCAGGCGGUCUCUUAAGUCUGAUGUGAAAGCCCACGGCUCAACCGUGGAGGGUCAUUGGAAA
rnacentral:rRNA from 2 species